GAUGAACGCUAGCGGCAGGCCUAAUACAUGCAAGUCGAACGGGAUCCAGAUCAAAGCUUGCUUUGGUCUGGUGAGAGUGGCGCACGGGUGCGUAACGCGUGAGCAACCUACCCUUGUCAGGGGGAUAGCCCGGCGAAAGUCGGAUUAAUACCGCAUGACAUCAUUGGGAGGCAUCUUUCGAUGAUCGACGAUUUAUCAGACAAGGAUGGGAUCGCGUGACAUUAGCUAGUUGGUAAGGUAACGGCAUACCAAGGCUGCGAUGUCUAGGGGCUAUGAGAGGAGGAUCCCCCACACUGGUACUGCGACACGGACCAGACUCCUACGGGAGGCAGCAGUAAGGAAUACUAGUCAAUGGACGGAAGUCUGAACCAGCCAUGCCGCGUGCAGGAAGACGGCCCUAUGGGUUGUAAUCUGCUUUUAUACGGGAACAACCGUCGGUACGUGUACCGGUCUGAGUGUACCGUAAGAAUAAGGAUCGGCUAACUCCGUG
rnacentral:rRNA from 1 species